rnacentral:rRNA from 1 species
ACUGCUCAGUAACACGUGGAUAACCUGCCCUGCGGUGGGAAAUAACCCCGGGAAACUGGGGAUAAUGUCCCAUAGGCUACGGAUACUGGAAUGUUCUGUAGUUGAAAGAUUUAUCGCCGCAGGAUGGGUCUGCGCCCGAUUAGGUUGUUGUUGGGGUAACGGCCCAACAAGCCCUUGAUCGGUACGGGUUGUGGGAGCAAGAGCCCGGAGAUGGAUUCUGAGACACGAAUCCAGGCCCUACGGGGCGCAGCAGGCGCGAAAACUUUACAAUGCGGGAAACCGUGAUAAGGGAACUCCGAGUGUCCGUAAAUGCGGACUGUCCGUAUGUUUAAAAAGCAUGCGAAGAAAGGGCCGGGCAAGACCGGUGCCAGCCGCCGCGGUAAUACCGGCGGCUCGAGUGGUGGCCACUAUUACUGGGCUUAAAGCGUUCGUAGCUGGGUUGUUAAGUCUCUUGGGAAAUCUACCGGCUUAACCGAUAGGCGUCCAAGGGAUACUGGCAUUCUAGGGACCGGGAGAGGUGAGGGGUACUUCAGGGGGUAGGGGAGUGAAAUCUUUGUAAUCCCUGGGGGACCACCUGUGGCGAAGGCGCCUCACCAGAACGGCUCCGACAGUGAGGGACGAAAGCUGGGGGAGCAAACCGGAUUAGAUACCCGGGUAGUCCCAGCCGUAAACGAUGCGCGUUAGGUGUAUCGAUGACCACGAGUCAUCGAGGUGCCGAAGGGAAACCGUGAAACGCGCCGCCUGGGAAGUACGGUCGCAAGGCUGAAACUUAAAGGAAUUGGCGGGGGAGCAC